UACGUAGGGGGCGAGCGUUGUCCGGAUUUAUUGGGCGUAAAGAGCUCGUAGGCGGUUCGGCAAGUCAGAUGUAAAAACUCCAGGCUCAACUUGGAGAGGCCAUCUGAUACUGCCGUGACUAGAGUCCGGUAGAGGAGCACGGAAUUCCUGGUGUAGCGGUGAAAUGCGCAGAUAUCAGGAGGAACACCGGUGGCGAAGGCGGCUUCCUGGACCGACACUGACGCUGAGGCGCGAAAGCUAGGGGAGCAAACGGG
rnacentral:rRNA from 1 species